AGGAAUAAGAGCCGGCACAUGUAAUAGGUCUCACAUUAUUUGCAUUGUCAGAGGGGUAACUAUGUAUUUUGGGUAAUAUGGAAACAUAUUUUUAUUCCACAGGGGCAGUUGCAGUUGGAGUCAUUCAGGAGCCCCCAAGUCUUUCCCUAUUGUUGGGUGAGAAAUCGCUCAUGUCCUGUACUGUACAAGGUGCCCCGAGUGACUGGACCCUAUUUAAUAUUUACUGGAAACUGAAGGGAACAAACCCAAAUGGCUCAGCACUGAAUAAUACAGAUGUCACAUUGCAGAAUAAUUCCAGGAUCUUCAUUUCUGGUCUAAAGGGCCACUCCAGCUCCCUCAUCAUCUCCUCAGUGAGGCCCAAGGACAGUGGGACGUAUGUGUGUGAGGCUCUGAUAUUGAACAAAUCCAAACAGAUGAAUUACACAGGGACUGGGACCCUCCUCAUUAUUAACAAUGUGACCCCAGUAUUGCACCUGAGAGCAGAGACUGAGGGGCAGUUACUGGUGUGUGAGGCCCAGAGAUUUUACCCCCCGGAGCUGAACAUUUCCUGGAGCUUCUCAGCAGAGGAAAAUCCAGCUCAGGAGACCCUGAAUGAGAACCCGGAUGGGACCUACAACAAGACUUCCACCAUCAAUGUUACUGAGGAAUUGUGGGACACCCAUGUGAUCUGCCAAGUGCAACAUGUGACACUCCCCAUGCCCCUCCCACUGCGCCUGUAUCUCACCUGUAAGUAAAGGAGGUUCCUCCAAGUGCAACAUGUGACACUCCCCAGGCCCCUCCCACUGCACCUGUAUCUCACCAGUAAGUAAGGGAGGUUCCUCCAAGUGCAACAUGUGACACUUCCCAGGCCCCUCCCACUGCACCUGUAUCUCGCCAGUAAGUAAGGGAUGUUUCUCCAACAUUUGACACUCUACAGGCCCCUCCCACUGCACCUGUAUAUCACCUGUAACUAAGGGAGGUUUCUCCAACAUGUGACACUCCUCAGGCCCCUCCCACUGCACCUGUAUCUCACCUGUAAGUAAGGGAGGUUUCUCCAACAUGUGACACUCCUCAGGCCCCUCCCACUGCACCUGUAUCUCACCUGUAAGUAAGGGAGGUUUCUCCAACAUGUGACACUCCUCAGACCCCUCCCACUGCACCUGUAUCUCACCUGUAACUAAGGGAGGUUUCUCCAACAUGUGACACUCCUCAGGCUCCUCUCACUGCACCUGUAUCUCGCCAGUAAGUAAGGGAUGUUUCUCCAACAUUUGACACUCUACAGGCCCCUCCCACUGCACCUGUAUAUCACCUGUAACUAAGGGAGGUUUCUCCAACAUGUGACACUCCUCAGGCCCCUCCCACUGCACCUGUAUCUCACCUGUAAGUAAGGGAGGUUUCUCCAACAUGUGACACUCCUCAGGCCCCUCCCACUGCACCUGUAUCUCACCUGUAAGUAAGGGAGGUUUCUCCAACAUGUGACACUCCUCAGACCCCUCCCACUGCACCUGUAUCUCACCUGUAAGUAAGGGAGGUUUCUCCAACAUGUGACACUCCUCAGGCUCCUCUCACUGCACCUGUAUCUCACCUGUAAGUAAGGGAGGUUUCUCCAACAUGUGACACUCCUCAGGCUCCUCCCACUGCACCUGUAUCUCACCUGUAAGUAAGGGGGGUGAGCACAGGUGAGGGCUACAUGAGUUGGAAUUCCAUGUCCCAAAGACAAUCUCAGUGGGUGAGUUUUGUGUAUUUAGAUGCCAGAGAGUUGGGGUACAGUGAGUGAGUGAUUGAGUAUGAGAUGAAUCAGUGAGAGGAAAAUAACUGGGAUUCUUGUGUCUCUUCUCUGCGCAGGGACAAAGUGGUACCAGAACCUUUAUGUUCUACUCUCCCUCCUCCUUCUGCCCCUGGUGUUUCUCUUGUGCUGGAAGGGCCCCUGUAGAAAGUGCUGGAAAGCUGCUCCUCAGUCAAUCACACCCGGUCCUGGCACAGCGAGGGGGCCAAACACUCAGCAGGAUGGAGCAGAGAGGAGCAGCCUUCAUUAUGCCAGUGUUGUGCCAUCCCCUAAAGGUACCAACACACGUCUGCCACCAAGGAGCACUGAAGAAAUUCUGUAUGCACCACUGAAGGGGACACGGAACCCAAUGCCCAAAACUGCCCCUUACAGCCCUGACCUUCCUGAAGAGCCAGACUUGUUCUAUGCCAGUCUCAGAAUGUCUCCCCCUCAAUCCAACUAAUCGUACCCUAACUGGAUCUGCCACAGGUUCUCACUUUCUGGCCUAAAGGGACAGAAUGUAGCUAGAAUCUCAGCUGCCAUAAAGCAGGACAGGACUGCUGCUUACAAUGGGGAUCAGAUAGGAUCUGUG